GAUGAACGCUGGCGGCGUGCUUAACACAUGCAAGUCGAGCGAGUGAGUUCUUUGGAACGAUCUAGCGGCGGACGGGUGAGUAACACGUGGGCAACCUGCCUCAUAGAGGGGAAUAGCCUCCCGAAAGGGAGAUUAAUACCGCAUAAAAUUAUCGGGUGGCAUCACAUGAUAAUCAAAGGAGCAAUCCGCUAUGAGAUGGGCCCGCGGCGCAUUAGCUAGUUGGUGAGGUAACGGCUCACCAAGGCGACGAUGCGUAGCCGACCUGAGGGGGUGAUCGGCCACAUUGGGACUGAGACACGGCCCAGACUCCUACGGGAGGCAGCAGUGGGGAAUAUUGCACAAUGGGGGAAACCCCGAUGCAGCAACGCCGCGUGAGUGAUGAAGGUCUUCGGAUUGUAAAGCUCUGUCUUUGGGGACGAUAAUGACGGUACCCAAGGAGGAAGCCACGGCUAACUACGUGCCAGCCGCCGCCGUAA
rnacentral:rRNA from 1 species